rnacentral:tRNA from 1 species
GCCGCUGUGGCAUAGGGGUAUUGCGGCUGAUUCGUAAUCAGCAGGCCGGGGGUUCGAAUCCCUCCAGCGGCU